UGCAGCCUUGUCAAAAUCAGUGCUUCCUCCUUCCUGGAUGCCACUGGCCAAAAUGUCUGCCACAGUGAAGGUGUAGUUCAUGGGCCCCGCGGUGCUGAAACACAGCCGUUGGGGAUAAAUAUGUACUACGCACAAUA